ACGUAGGGGGCAAGCGUUGUCCGGAAUCAUUGGGCGUAAAGCGCGUGUAGGCGGUUCGGUAAGUCUGCUGUGAAAGUCCAGGGCUCAACCCUGGGAUGCCGGUGGAUACUGUCGAACUAGAGUACGGAAGAGGCGAGUGGAAUUCCCGGUGUAGCGGUGAAAUGCGCAGAUAUCGGGAGGAACACCAAUUGCGAAGGCAGCUCGCUGGGACGUCACUGACGCUGAGACGCGAAAGCGUGGGGAGCAAACAGGA
rnacentral:rRNA from 1 species